rnacentral:rRNA from 1 species
UACAGAGGGGGCAAGCGUUGUUCGGAAUUACUGGGCGUAAAGGGCGCGUAGGCGGCCUUCUAAGUCGAACGUGAAAUCCCCGGGCUCAACCCGGGAACUGCGUCCGAUACUGGAAGGCUUGAAUCCGGGAGAGGGAUGCGGAAUUCCAGGUGUAGCGGUGAAAUGCGUAGAUAUCUGGAGGAACACCGGUGGCGAAGGCGGCGUCCUGGACCGGCAUUGACGCUGAGGCGCGAAAGCCAGGGGAGCAAACGGG